UCUUUCCUUUCAUUCUUUUCAUGGCUUUGGAAAACUUGUCUCGGAUGUUUGUCUGCAUCGCCUUUUGCAUAACUCCGGGUUGUCGACACCAAGCUUCAUUGCAAUUUCGUUCUAGAAGGUCUCUUCGCGAGUGAUUGUACAGGUACAGAUAUAUUUGUACCAGCUCAGCAAUUUGACAUUCCAGUGUAUUCAGGAGAUGUUUUAUGGUUGGACCUCCGAAGAAUGAGAUACGAACCAGGAAAAAAAAUGGCACGUCAAAGAAGGUGGAGUUUCAGAACACGCUCACCGACCGUGUAACCGCCACGGACCAAUGGAAGCUUAAAGGUGUUUAGGAGCCAAAACAAACUCCCCCAGAAAGUUUGCUUAGGUGAGCUGUUUCAAACUGCCGAAACAAUCUCAAAACGAACUUUGUUUCGACCUUGUUUUGUUUGAAAUGACAUCAUAUGAGUUCAUUCUUCAAUUUUGUUUGAAGUAUAUCGGGGCCUUGAUGUCCUAUUGUACAACUUCACAAAUAACAUAAUAACAUAUAACAUCCAAGGGAGUCCCUCUUCACAGUCACAGUCGAGUUCGACACGGUAGGAUCUCAAAAGUGACCUCAGGGUUUGGUGGAAUCUUUCUGACGACCCCUGACUCUGAAGAUGAUAAGAACUUGAGAUGUUAUAAGUUACUUUAAGUUGUUGCAGGGCUUUAAAGAAGUAUUGAAACAUGAAUUUCAAGCCUUGAUGAGUCUUAUCUUGAUGUCAUGUCUUGUUACCACAGUAACCAGAGGUUGUUAGUUUGAAAAUAGUUCACUUAACUCUUAACAUAUAGUUUUCUUGUUGGAUGAGGAUAAUAUCCUUCUAAUAUUUUAUACCAGGGAUGUCUAAUUCAGUUCCUGGAGGGUCACAACACUGCAGAGUUUAGCUUCAACUCUAAUUUAGCACACCUCAGUCAAGGUCUUCAUUACUUGCAAACUAAAGAUCUGAAAGAAGAGAGUGAAGAACUGAAUGAAAUACAAGAUAAAGAUCAGUUUAAGAAACACGAUUUCGUAACUGGACAAAAAUCAUACAGUCGCUCACAGAUUGACACGACACAGAAUUUGACAC